UCCGUAGGUGAACCUGCGGAGGGAUCAUUACAAGAACGCCCGGGCUUCGGCCUGGUUAUUCAUAACCCUUUGUUGUCCGACUCUGUUGCCUCCGGGGCGACCCUGCCUUCGGGCGGGGGCUCCGGGUGGACACUUCAAACUCUUGCGUAACUUUGCAGUCUGAGUAAACUUAAUUAAUAAAUUAAAACUUUUAACAACGGAUCUCUUGGUUCUGGCAUCGAUGAAGAACGCAGCGAAAUGCGAUAAGUAAUGUGAAUUGCAGAGUUCAGUGAAUCAUCGAAUCUUUGAACGCACAUUGCGCCCCCUGGUAUUCCGGGGGGCAUGCCUGUUCGAGCGUCAUUUCACCACUCAAGCCUCGCUUGGUAUUGGGCAACGCGGUCCGCCGCGUGCCUCAAAUCGUCCGGCUGGGUCUUCUGUCCCCUAAGCGUUGUGGAAACUAUUCGCUAAAGGGUGUUCGGGAGGCUACGCCGUAAAACAACCCCAUUUCUAAGGUUGACCUCGGAUCAGGUAGGGAUACCCGCUGAACUUAAGCAUAUCAAUAAGCGGAGGA
rnacentral:rRNA from 1 species